GCACACGUCCUACUGUCCUCUGAGGCUACAGAAAUAUAAAGCACAGUGUAAGUGUGUUACUUCCUCUGAGGCUACAGGAAAUAUAAAGCACUGUGUUACCCUUCCAGAGAGUUCUCACUCAGUCUCAGAGGGCAAAGUUUGCAUCCCAAAUGGCACCCUAUUCCCUAAAGACCCUGGUCAAAAGUAGUGCACUAUAUGGGAAAGGGUGCCAUUUGGGACGCAUUGACGUUAAGAUUGUUAUCUGUUGGCCAGCAGGGUGGGCAGAUACCCCCUGAGGUCUGGUCCUCCUACCCUCCUGAUGCCGGGUCCUCCUACCCCCUGAUGCUGGUCCUCCUACCGCUGAUUCUGGUCCUCCUACCUCUGAUGUCUGGUCCUCCUACCCUCCUGAUGUUCUGUCCUACCCUGCUGGUGUCUGGUCCUCCUACCUGCUGAUGUCUGGUCCUACCCUGCUGGUGUCUGGUCCUCCUACCUGCUGAUGUCUGGUCCUCUUACCUGCGAAGUCUGGUCCUCCUACCCCCCUGAUGUCGGUCUACCUCCUGAUGUCUGGUCCUCCUACCCGCUGAUGUCUGGUCCUCCUACCCCCCUGAUGUCUGGUCCUACCCUCCUGAUGUCUGGCCCCUACCCUGCUGAUGUCUGGUCCUCCUACCCUGCGGAUGUCUGGUCCUCCUACCCUGCUGAUGUCUGGUCCUCCUACCCUCCUGAUGUCUGGUCCUCCUACCCUCCUGAUGUCGGUCCUCCUACCUCUGAUGUCUGGUUCUCCUACCCUGCUUCCCUGCGUCCCGUGCCUCAACUUAUGAGGUUUUAUUAUAGUCAAAGACCUUUAUAUCCCCACAAUCACACUCUGUUUAUUCUAGGGCUGAGGCAUGCCUUUCCCUUUAUAUCCCCACAAUCACACUCUGUUUAUUCUAGGGCUGAGGCAUGCUUUUCCCUUUAGUCCAUACAAUCACACCUCUGUUAUUCUAGGGCUGGGGAUGCCUUUCCCUUUAUGUCCCACAUCACACUCUGUUAUUCUGGCUGGGCGCUGCCUUUCCCUUUAUAUCUCACAAUCACACUCUGUUUAUUCUA
rnacentral:lncRNA from 1 species